AAAUUAUGCUAGUUCUGUGGGCACACCAAUCAAGGAAGUAAGAGACCUGUUUCUUGGGCAGCUCUCUGAAAAGCUGGAAUGUUGGAGGCAUGCUCUAUUCUUUUCUCCCAGAGGAAAAAGAUGUGAAGAGGCAUUCUGUCUUGGCACUGAGCUGUGCUAACUUGGGGGAGAGGCUGAUGCAGGCAUUCCUGUAAACUUAUAUUCAUGAAGAAAGUCAGAGUACUUGUUGCAGAUGCAAUGCUAGGUCUUCAGCCAUGUGCUAUAGAAACAGAAGGUGACAAAUAUAACCAAGGAUUGGGAGGAGAAAAAGAAGAAAGCCAAUUUGGGAAAUGAGACUGUAAAGUUUAUAAUGCUACUGAUUUUCAAACAUUUUCAGAAGCAAUGGAAAGAAGAAUGCGAAGAAAAUGAGUUUAUUUUCCAAAAUGCUUUUUUUGUUAUUGUUUUGCAAUUUCCCUUUGUUAACAUCAUAUAGGUUAUGGGGGUUUCUGUUUUGAAAAAAAUAAAUACUGCACCGUGUGUGGAUUGCUACUCAGCACUCAGCAAUAAACAAGUCAAUGAAUGCUCUAGGUUUUAAUGAAUUCGGUUUUACUUCUUUACAUCUACUUAUUAGCUUCUCUACCUAAGAUGUGUACACG
rnacentral:lncRNA from 1 species